GGAUGCGAUGAUACCAGCACUAAAGCAUCGGAUCCCAUCAGAACUCCGAAGUUAAGCGUGCUUGGGCGAGAGUAGUACUAGGAUGGGUGACCUCCUGGGAAGUCUUCGUGUUGCAUUCC
rnacentral:rRNA from 1 species